GAUAAUCAAUAAAGUACAGAUUGUUUUGUGAUUACUGUAUAUUUAAGGUAUAUCAAUGUUGAGAGUGUGGGCUCAAGGGUUAAUUUGUUUAUCUCAUUAAGUCAUUACACUAAUGUCCAGUCAGGUACCGCCCUCCUCUGCUGCAACCGCUACACUCAAACACACAUACACAUUCACACAGGGCCAAAAACAGCUGGGUCAAGCAAAAUGGCCACACCCCUGUUUGCUCCACAUAGCAAACAUGCCUCAAAGACCCCUGACAGUUGAUUUUGCAUUCUGUGCUAACCUCCUGAUUCAGAGGCGGCUCUUGCGAGGAUCUAAAAUAAAGGCUGCACAGCGCAAGGCUGACUUCUGCUGCUCCAUAAUGAUAUUUCCAUCUUUCGCUUUCCCCAAGGCCCAACAUGAGCACAGUAGCUCUGAAGUCUGGAGUUAGUGACCCACAGCAACGCAUGCAUUAGUAACGAGAGCCAGUGUGACCUGGACAACCAACAUGGCAAAUGAGGACACGUCCGUGUAAAAAGUCAAUGAAUUGCAGAGGUCGCGGGGCAUGCUGGAGCCUAACCCAGCCGUCUUCGGGCAGUAGGCGGGGGACACCCUGAACCGGUUGCCAGCCUCAACCACCGGGCCACUGGUUGUGUGUGGUCCAUUUCAACCCUGGAUGUUUCCCUCAACAUUUUCAGCUCAAGACCCCAAAUUAUAACAACAUUUGCUUCCUCCCUGGGACCCAAACCAGAUUAACUGCUAUUAUCUAUUGCCACAACAUACUUAAAUAUAAUACAUAAAGUGUCAGAUAUAAGGAUUUA